AGUGUGCUAUUUGUGUACAUGCCAUGUAUGUUACUCAGCACCGUGCUGAGAAGGAUUGACAGAAGCUGCAGAAAGGCUGAGUAAAAUUUUCCAAAAUACCUAAGUGAUAUAGAAGUCUCCCAUCCUAUUUUUAAAACGUGACUGAAGCAUGCAAGGCCCAGAGCCUUAAAAGUACCUUUGCAGAUAGCUUCUGUGGAGCUGGGUACCUGAAAGAGCUGAGCACCUCCAUCCCAUUGCCCUGGUGACCCAUCCUCCCUGAUGGUCUGGGGCCCCUCCAUGCUCAGUCACAUAGGUUCAGCCCCCAGUGCCCAACAAGUUGCCUCUUUUGUAAGUGCUGCAGGGACCUGCAGCAGACUACUGUCGAGUGCCUGUCACCCAGUGGAGAUCUGUCUUUCCUUACACCAGUCCCACCAGAGCUGCUUCAUACUUGGGUUUUGCUCCCAGACAUGCUGCCCCUGUUUUUCCCUCCUUCUCUUCUUUGUUGAUCCAGAAGCCGCUGCCAGGUGGUAACUACUUUCCAGCCCAGCCAGCUUGCACCUGGGACAUCCCUGAACAUCCCAGCCACUGUGCACAGUUACGUUGCUCUCAGCAGACCUUGUAACUCCAGGAUGGGUGGUAAGGUGACUUUAAUGGUGUCUUUUCUCGCUGGCCAGCAGGGUCUGUGAGCCCCAGCCUGGCUGGCUUGGCCCAAAAUAUCUCAGGCUGCUUCCACAGCAAUGAAAUGUCACCUAUUUAUUGCUAAUGACAAAGGCAGGUGGCUGGGGCAGGCAAAAGGAGAAUGGCAGGGCUCAGAGAGAUGGGAGAAGUUAAAAAGGUCAAAAAGCAGUUAUUUUAGCUGCUGGCUUUGUGCAAUUUUGGGAGAAGAGUACUGUUUGCAUUACAUGUAGCAAGCGCAGGUCUCAGCUGCAACAGCACACUCUUCCCACUCCGUGUUUUUGCAAAUCUUUCUGCCUAUUUGUAGCACCUCCUGCUGUAUUGCUCAUACCAGCCCUUGCUCAAGAAAGAUACUGGAGCCAUACGUCGGAGCCGUAUGUCUCAUCGGCACAGCAAGACUCGAGCAGAAGCUAUUGCCAGAGGCAGAAAUACUCCCAUGGAUGCAGCCAGUAGAAUAGGUGGAAAUUUUCCAAAUUUCUUUUUGCAGAGGGAACACUUUUCCCCAUGAAAAAUGUGGAGGGAAUGAAGGGAAGGUUUGAUAAUGACUUUUACAAUAUGUCCUUUCCCAUUUCUAACUUCUUCAAAUUGUCUUUUCUAUCUUACGAUGCCCUUGUGGAGCCCUGACUCUCUGGCUGAUGUCAAGGCAGGAAUAGUGAGGAAAGAAAUAUUGUCACCCAAGCUGUGGUGCUGAAAGCUCUUUCUUGUCAACGCUCUGAUACAAAUAACUGUAUAGAUACCAGGACGUGCUCCUAAAGUUUCUGCUUUUGCGCAAGAGCCCUUCUGGCCUCUCAGCUGCUAUGGCAGGGCAUCCUAUGUCCCAUGUCUCUCCCAAGCAAAUCCUUCCCCUGUAGACCAGAAAAUGGCAUUGAAGGAGCUGGUUUGCAACAGCACUGUGGUUGGUGAGGAUGGAGUGAGAGACCAGUAGCAAAAGAUAAGGGUUUGUGAAGCACCAGCAAGAGGCAGGCUGGGCGCUCAGAGGAAACACAGGCACCAUGAAGCACUUGGACUGAAGCAACCCCAUGCUGCAUGCACUUUUGCGGGGUGGAAGCCUAGACCACCCAGUGUUGCAGUGGGAUCCCUAACAUGGUAGGGGGAGAAAACCUUUAAUAGUGGGAUGUCAGCAUAUUACAGCGAGCAGCCAAGGAGCUCAUAGUGACGCAAGCACUUACACCAAGGACAGGUCCAGAAGUAUGAACUCCUGCAUGCCCCCCAGACACCAUCCCUACAGUACAAACUCCCUAACUUCUAAAUGCCAGGAUGUCUAUUUUGCUUUCUUUUGAAGUCCUGAGAUGCUGGUAGAGCCAGUGGUGAUUUGUGAGCUUGUGUCUCUGCAACCAGUCACCUGCUGAACCCUGGGGACACUGUGCAUCCUUUGGGUACCAACAGUUGCAUCCCUUCUGGCAUGAUGCAGUGCUGGCUCCCGUGCCAGGGAGCUGCAGCCACAGGGAAGCCACGACCGCUCAGAUGAGCACCUUUGAUAAAUGUCCACCCUCCCACUUUCCUGCUGUAUGGACCAGAUAGCUGCAAGCCAAGGCCAUUACUCAGCGUAUCAUCAGGUGUGUAAAUGUGUCCUGUGCACUCCAAAUUGGCAGGGAGAUGACUAUUUGAAGGAAGCUGAAGCCAAAAGGGCUGUGGCAUCUGGCCAAAUCUGCUGUCGAUUUUAAAGCCGAUUCCGCUGUUCCUCCUGUGGAGCAAAACAACCAUAUUUUUCAUUUUGCAAAGGACAAAGCUCAACAGAGCUUUGAUUUUUUUUCUUUUUUUUGGCUUUUUUUUUUUGGUUGUGUUUGCUAGGAAUUUAUUGAAUGCUGUUACAUUAUUCUUCUUGCUGUCAGGAAACAGGCUGAUUCCCCUCCCAAGUAGCAAAGUUUGGCUACUGAGCAACUAGGCUGCAUGGGGCUUUUUGGCCACUGGUGAGGCUACUGUCUUAGGCGGUGGCCUAUGAAUGUCCUCCAAACACUUGGCAUCAAAAAGCUUUGCCAUCAGCCUCGGGAAGGUCCCCUAUCAAUGGGCGGUGAGUGGGUAGCACAGCUCUUGGGCCUGAAGAAAGCAAAAUCCCACUGCCGUAAAAGCUGUAACACAACAUCUGGUUUGCUUUAUAUUCUAAGUGCUGCAUUUCGUCCCAGGAGAGUGGCCCCAAGCCAUUUGGUGUGGUCCAGGUCUGUUGGGGAAGGUGCCCCACUCCCCAGCAUCCACAGCUGGUCCUGCAUGCUGAGGAAUGCACAGUCCCAUGGAGCGUGUGGUUAUCUCGUCUGCGCAUCCCCUGCCCCGAGGCUCUACGGGGCUCUCUGGCUCCGGGCCUUGUGGGGUGCACGCCUGCCCCAAAGCAAGUGAGAUGGAAAAUUAGCGGCUGGAUUUCCUGUUAUUCUUGGGAAUUUUGGAUGGGUUUGUGCAGCUAGAUAUUCACCACACUCAGCCGCAGUGCUUGAGCACUGUGCAGCCACUCACUGUCUUCUCCCCGGCUCCUCGGACAUGAUCCGACAAGUGAGAUGAGCUGGGCAGUUUCAGCCCCCUGCCCCACUGCUGGGGCUGUGCAGGGCAAUGCUUUUUUCUCCUGACUCAUUCACUAAUAAGCUCGCUUCUUGUGAGAGCGUCCCAAGGUUUUCUAACAACAGGAAGCAGUGCGCUGCCUGCCCCGGGGUCCAGCCGCAUGUGGGAAGAGGUGUGGCUGCCUCCAAUUUCGAGGAACACCAGUGUUAUGAGCAGCCCUGUUCUCAGCAUGCUUUCUCCUCGGUCUCCUCCUCACUGGCUCCAGCUCGAUUCCCCUUUUUUUCACUUCCUACCCUAAUAACCAAGGGAUUGCAACUGGGAUUGGCCCUUCAGAGACAGGUGUGUCGGGAGAGGGUUGUAGCUCCUGAAAGGUAGCAGGUAGGGGGUAGGGAUGCUGAGCCCAGGGAAAUGUGCAUGUCUGUUGUGGCUGCCCUGUUUUGGCUUGCUAGAGGUCCCAAAGUCAGUCCUGCAGUGAAGCAGAUGCCAAAGGGUUUGAGCACACACCACCAGCAGAUUUCCCAAAUCUCUUUCUCUUUUUUGACACAGAACCUCUGGCAGUGAAGGGUCUUGCCCUUUAAUGCAGAGAUGGAUGGGACCUGUCAAGCUAGACAAGCUUUUCAGUUGCUGCUCCUGCCUCUCUUCACGCCUGGAGAGCCAGGCAGUGCAGACCCCCCGGGGACGCCUCCCGGCGGCCCUGAUUUAGCUUAUUCUAGGCCAUGCUGAGAAUUAUUAGCUGCAGGAGUCUGCCUCUCUUCCCUCCUCGUGGAGACUAGUUUUCUUAUUUUAGCUUGGUGCUUUGCUUUCCCCCUACGCAGGCUAUUUGUUCUAUAGCUUUUACACUACAGCUAGGAUAAAUAAACAGCAGCUGAGAGGGGGCCACCAUUAUCAGGGAGGGCAAGGAUGGGUGCAGGGGGCUGGGAGAGGGUGGUGGAAGCCUUGCCCAGAGCUGGGCACUUUCUUAAUGCAACCUCCUGGAGUACAGUCCCUGGAGCCAGGGCCACGGGGAAGCUGUGCAGCAUUUGCCUGGCUUUAUUCCUGUGGCUGUCAUGGUUGAGGACAGCUGUCAGUUUCAAGCGCAAGGUGCUUCCAGGCACUGCAAUCUCUCUGCAAACCUGCACCAUAGCAAAGCAAACUGGAGCAGCUGUGUGGAGCCAUCAGUCUCAUUGCUUAACCCAUGGAAAGACUUCACAUGAUGUUUCUGUGACCAGUUGCUUCAAAUCUUCCAGCAAAUGCCCUCUGGCUAUUAAUGUUACACGAAUAUUCCUGCAUACUCAUUUAUUAAUGAGAGGCCCGUGGAAAUGACAAACCCUAAACAAACACAGGAUACUGUUUGUGGAACAAUUACAUUUGCUUUGCACCAGCUUGUGGCCUAGAAAUAACAUCCCUGAAUUGGGCUCAUGUCAAUCUAGUCAUGAGAGAAAUAUGUUGUGUGACUUGGCUUAAAUGACAGGGCUCUCCACUGGCUUUCCAAGCAGUGGUGAGCACUUUUGGUUAGUGACCAGGACUCAGCAAGUUUCAAUGCAGUCAAUGCUUCACGCAAGUUGCAUUAUUUUUCUGUGCGCCAUCUAUAAUCUCGAAAGGCUUCACGCCUCAUGGGUCUUGUGCUGAAUGCAUGGUGGAAAGUAUCAGAUAUGCCUGCACAGUCCUCUUAGGAGCUGAUUUCCAGAAAUGAAGACCAAAUAAGAUGCAGACCAAGAGGCGGGAUGAGAAGGGCAUGAGCACAGCCUUGAUGGAGCAAGCUCAUCUCCAAGCUUCAUCAGACACCCUGACCAAGGCAUUAGCAGGACCUAACUGGCUUCUUACCCUGCAACUCAAGGAGGAAACCCUUUAAAUAUCUAUGUUCUUUGUAUAUUAAAAAUAUGAGACAUAUGCACUGUCACUGA